rnacentral:rRNA from 1 species
UACGAAGGGGGCUAGCGUUGUUCGGAAUUACUGGGCGUAAAGCGCACGUAGGCGGAUAUUUAAGUCAGGGGUGAAAUCCCAGAGCUCAACUCUGGAACUGCCUUUGAUACUGGGUAUCUUGAGUAUGGAAGAGGUAAGUGGAAUUGCGAGUGUAGAGGUGAAAUUCGUAGAUAUUCGGAGGAACACCAGUGGCGAAGGCGGCUACU